rnacentral:rRNA from 1 species
UACGUAGGUGGCAAGCGUUGUCCGGAUUUACUGGGCGUAAAGAGCGCGCAGGCGGUCGUGCAAGUCGCGUGUGAAGGCCCCCGGCUCAACUGGGGAGGGUCACGCGAUACUGCUCGACUCGAAGGCAGGAGAGGGUAGUGGAAUUCCCGGUGUAGUGGUGAAAUGCGUAGAUAUCGGGAGGAACACCAGUGGCGAAGGCGACUACCUGGCCUGUUCUUGACGCUGAGGCGCGAAAGCUAGGGGAGCAAACGGG